CUCCUGGACAGCUCACUAAGAAUACAGCUUCACAAUGGAUGCUGUUGCUACCCAACAGUUCGGGACAUCACUACUUGUGGGUCUAAAAUUUUGGUUCCCUUGGAACUUUUGAGGGAGGCAAUCCUGGAGGUUGUAGUUCUCUGUUUUAAUUGAGCAGCCAAUCGUGCUCCUUCUUUGUUGCCCGCAGCAAAAAAGCUGUGUUUAAACCUGCGUGUAAGGAAUGUCGUUUUGGCUAGUUCCAAAUCUCUCAGCCGUGAUUGUAAAAGCAGCAGUUUAGUAUGGGUGGAAGCCGUGAGGGAGUGUUUGUUAGUGUGGGUUAGAGAUGUUUAUUCGGAAAGUAUGGCCGUGUAUGUUUCUAGUCGCUUCUUUUUUGCGUAGCUGGCAUGCUUGAUGAAGCAACCUCGUAUGAAGCUAUUCUCGAAUAGCUGUUAUGUGCUGCUGUGUGGCAUGUAUAGUCCCUUUCUGUAGGAUGUGUGACUCGCCAUGGGUCUGCGAGAUUGUGUGAUGUUAGUUUGUUGCAGAUUUGUGUGGUUAGUUUGGACCUCCGGAGGCUGUCUAAUAAUAAAUUUGUGUCACCUCCAAUGAUUACCUCCCCCAGUGCAUGUGCAGACAUCAAUCCAAGCAGUACAUCAGCAAAGUCACAUUGGUUAGCAAUAGGCCCAUAUACAUUAAUCAAGGUAUAGACAUUGUUAUUCAGGGAGCAUUGCAAUAUAAGGUAUCUUCC